AGCGGAGGGAUCAUUACUGAGUUAUUAAAACUCCAAACCCUUUGUGAACCUUACUGUCGUUGCCUCGGCGUGAGCUACGGCUACCCUGUAGUUACCCUAUAGCUACCCUGCAGCUACCCUAUAGUUGACCAGUAGCUACCCUGUAGUUACCCUAUAGCUACCCUGCAGCUACCCUAUAGUUGACAUGUAGCUACCCUGUAGCCGGCUUAUGGCCCGCCGAAGGACCGCUAAACUCUUGUUUUUUACCACUGUUUCUCUGAAUUGUAAACUUAAAUAAGUUAAAACUUUCAACAACGGAUCUCUUGGUUCUGGCAUCGAUGAAGAACGCAGCGAAAUGCGAUAAGUAAUGUGAAUUGCAGAAUUCAGUGAAUCAUCGAAUCUUUGAACGCACAUUGCGCCCAUUAGUAUUCUAGUGGGCAUGCCUAUUCGAGCGUCAUUUCGACCCUUAAGCCCCUGUUGCUUAGCGUUGGGAAUCUACAGCGUAGUUCCUUAAAGUUAGUGGCGGAGUUAGGGUACACUCUCAGCGUAGUAAUCUUUCUCGCUCGUGUGGUGGCCCUGGCUGCUAGCCGUUAAACCCCUAUAUUUUCUAGUGGUUGACCUCGGAUUAGGUAGGAAUACCCGCUGAACUUAAGCAU
rnacentral:rRNA from 1 species